UCCGGCGGAGGUCACUGCUAUCGGGGUUCGAUUAAGCCAUGCGAGUCGAGAGGGUUCGGCCCUCGGCGUACUGCUCAGUAACACGUGGAUAACCUGCCCUAAGGAAGGGGAUACCCCCGGGAAACUGGGGAUAAUACCCUAUAGGUUACAGAUGCUGGAAUGCUCUGUACCCGAAAGUUCCGGCGCCUUAGGAUGGAUCUGCGGCCGAUUAGGUUGUUGUCGGGGUAACGGCCCAACAAGCCAGUAAUCGGUACGGGUUGUGGGAGCAAGAGCCCGGAGUUGGAUUCUGAGACACGAAUCCAGGCCCUACGGGGCGCAGCAGGCGCGAAAACUUUACAAUGCGGGCAACCGUGAUAAGGGAACCUCGAGUGCCUGUAUAUGCAGGCUGUCUGGGUGUCUAAAACACACCUAAAGAAAGGGCCGGGCAAGACCGGUGCCAGCCGCCGCGGUAAUACCGGCGGCUCGAGUGGUGGCCACUUUUAUUGGGCUUAAAGCGUUCGUAGCUGGGUUAUUAAGUCCCUUGGGAAAUCCGACGGCUUAACCGUCGGGCGUCUAAGGGAUACUGGCAAUCUUGGAACCGGGAGAGGUGAGGGGUACUUCGGGGGUAGGAGUGAAAUCCUGUAAUCCUCGAGGGACCACCUGUGGCGAAGGCGCCUCACCAGAACGGCUUCGACAGUGAGGGACGAAAGCUGGGGGAGCAAACCGGAUUAGAUACCCGGGUAGUCCCAGCCGUAAAUGAUGUGCGUUAGGUGUAUCGGUGACCACGAGUCACCGAGGUGCCGAAGGGAAACCGUGAAACGUACCGCCUGGGAAGUACGGUCGCAAGGCUGAAACUUAAAGGAAUGGGCGGGGAAGCAC
rnacentral:rRNA from 1 species